rnacentral:misc_RNA from 1 species
UGAUAGGUGCGUUAGGGAUUGUAGUGGAAAGCCCACAGCCCGACGAAGGAGGGCGAGGACUUGCAACAGAAAGCCCGACCACUU